rnacentral:lncRNA from 1 species
GGUCGGGGUUAGGGUUCAGGGUCGGUGUUAGGGUUCAGUGGUCCGGGUUAGGGUUCAGGGUCCGGAUUAGGGUUCAGGGUCCGGGUCAGGGUUAGGGUCAGGGUCAGGGUUAGGGUCAGGGUCAGGGUUAGGGUCAGGGUUUUAGGGUCAGGGUUUUAGGGUCAGGGUCAGGGUGAGGGUCAGGGUCAGGGUGAGGACCCUUUACAGCAGAUGAAGGCCUCUCCCCAGCCAGAAAAGAUGGAGCACACGCUGGGUGGUGGCCCCGCUUCCUCACUGGAAGGAGAUGGUGCUCUUCUUUUUUCUUUCUGAAUUGUGGCCACCUUCAUACCAGUCUGUCAUGG